UACGUAGGCAGCAAGCGUUGUUCGGAAUUACUGGGCGUAAAGAGUGUGUAGGCGGUGCUCUAAGUUUGGUGUGAAAUCUCCCGGCUCAACUGGGAGGGUGCGCCGAAAACUGGAAUGCUUGAACAUGGGAGAGGAAAGCGGAAUUCCUGGUGUAGCUGUGAAAUGCGUAGAUAUCAGGAGGAACACCUGCGGUGUAGACGGCUUUCUGGACCAUUGUUGACGCUGAGACACGAAAGCGUGGGUAGCAAACAGG
rnacentral:rRNA from 1 species